rnacentral:lncRNA from 1 species
GCGGAGACAUCUGCAGCAAAGUGACUGAAAGUGAAAUCCCUCCACCUGGCCUCCUUCCCCCUCACUUCCGCGCCUUGCCACGGUCAGCCACCGAUCAGCGGGAGUUGGUUUGUAAACACCCCAGCUCUCUCUGAGGACUAUGUUCUACAUCUGCUCCCAGAACUCUAAAGGAUCAAGGGCCAGUUACCCACGAUGACAUCGUGCAUGAUCAGCUGCUCUUCCCCUCCCUGUCCCUCUUCCGCUCUCCCCUAUUGGGGGUUCCUGGGAUCAGGAAUCCUUGUUUUAGAGGAGGCUUCUGGGGGAACCUGAGCCAAGACAAACCCGAGUAUUGUUGGGACAGGAAUACCGGGGGUGGGUUAAGAAGAUGUCGAGGCCUGCCAGGGAGCCAGAGAGCCCUGGUCCCUAGCUCCAACCUGAGGACUGGGAUCGGAGGUCUUUCCAGAAACAGAAGGCUUCUAGCUGCUCCCAUGGGUUUCAGGAGGAAUCCGCUUGCUUGGAUCAGCUGACCUCUGACAGUUUGUUUAGGGAAGGAGUGGGGAGUGAUUGUUACAGGCCCUGCAGGGGAGAGAGCCUGUGGGUGGUGGUGCUGAGGCGUGUUUAAUGAGGCUGUCCCUUAGUCAGGGGCUGAAGGUGGACCCUUGACAUUUGGAAGCAGCGUGGAGAGUCACUGUGCACCCCCUGAGAGACGGAGGCCUCUGCCCGGAGCAGGGAACUUCAUAAGUGGCGGCCCAGAGGGAACCGUCCACAGAACCCCCUGUGUCUCCCCUCCAGAGUGUAGGUCCCUGAGGGCAGUCACCUGAUCUGUCUCAGUCACUGCAGUGUCCCCAAACAGAGCACCGCCUCAGGCACACAGAGGGCAGUGGUGAGGACUAAAGGAGGCGAUGAGAAGAGAGUCCCCACAAGGAGUCUGGCACAGAGGAAGUUUCGACGUAUGCUGUCCAUUGCAACUUCGACUUAUGCUGCGUUUCUGUGUCGGAACAGUGGAAGACAUUCAACAAGCACUUUGUCUCAGAGGCUUAGUUACAAUUAAUUGAGCCUGAAAGACCAUAGACUUGAAAAAGCCCUCAAAGUGAUAAAGGUAAAAAGAAAAAUAAAAUGACAUCUAGCAGGCACUGAGGGCUCUACAACGUGUGGCUAGCCUGUAUUCAGCACCCUACAGUGUGCAGCCAGGCUGUGCUCAGCAUCCUACAGUGUGCAGCCAGGCUGUGCUCAGUACUCUACAGUGAGUAGCCAGCCUGUGCUCAGCACUCCGCAGUGAGUGGCCAGCCUGUGCUCAGCACUCUACAGUAUGUGGCCAAACUGUGCUCAGCACUCCACAGUGAGUGGCCAGCCUGUGGUCAGGACUCUACAGUGAGUGGCCAGUCUAUACUCUGCACUCUACAGUGAGUGGCCAGCCUGUACACAGCACUCCACAGUCGUCAUCUUUUCAUCAUAAAUCUAAUGGCCACUUAAUGAGGUAGACCUGUCCCAUGACUUGAACUGAUUUCAAAAACUCAAAACUCAUACUCUCUUGCAUUUGGCAACCAAAACACAACCCACUUCCUGGGACCUUCUGACAGCCAGGCCACGUUGAGCAAACACCGAGCCCUCUUCAGAGUUGGUCAGCAGCCAGGUCAGCAGCGACUGGCAAGGCGACUGCUUGCCAGGUCUCCUCCAGCAUGAGCUUGGGAUGGAGCUGAAUCCCUUUCAUGCACAAGCAGAAUUUGAAAAGGUGCGGGGCCACACUAGUACCUCUGCGUCUCCUGCCAGAGCCCACCAGCUUAUUUUGCUUCUUCAGAGUCUGUAAAGCAUCCUUCUGGAUGACGAAUGCCUUCCGAGGCUCCAGCCCACCAAGCCUUCCUCUAAGUUUCAGAUGCAGAGGCCACCUCGGAGAACUGUGAUUGUCUCCCUGCAUCUCCCCAGUGCCCCCGGAUGAGUGCCACCCUCCUCACCUGCUAUCACAAAGACAAGAAAGGCCAUUCAUAAUUUAAGUCAGCCCUUUCUUUCCUGCACGCCACCAACAUGAGUCAGAUGCUGGAGGAAAAAUUGAACUCUUUCUCCCAGGAUACACCAAAGAUCAAGCAGAAUCUCAUUAAGGCUCACUUCAAAGACUCGUCCUUUAUUUCCAUACAAACAAGUUUAAAUUAUCGUGUGUGAAUCUGCUGUUAGCAGGGACUCUGUUCCAUUAUGCAUGAUUCCUUACUGUUCAUAUCAUGAAUAAUGGGCAGUGCUCCGUUAGCGAUUUCCAGUAAUAUGCUAAACUUUGGGAGUGGUCAUGGUGUUAGGUUAAAGUUCUGGUGUUUGCCUAUUUUAUUUCUUACUCAAGCUAUAAUGGCCUGCUUCAUCAAAAUAGGUUUCACAGUCUUAUUGUAAUGAACACAGCAUAACACAUGUUGUGGCUAUGAUUUCCUUAUUAUUAUUAUUGAAUAUUUAUUGAGCACUUACUAUGUGUAAGGGAUGGUGCUCAGUGUAUGCAUUGCAUGCAUAAUAUUUAAUCUUCCGGAAUCCCAUGAAAUAGCUAUGAUGAUUAUUCCCAUUUUACUGGUGAAAAAAACUGAUAAUUUGAGCAGGAUCUAAAUUAUCCACAGAUAAAACUUUUUUGUGUGUUUUUGAGACAGGGUCUCACUUUGUGACCCAGGCUGGAGUGCAGUGGUGCAAUUAUGGCUCACUGCAGCCUUGACUUUCCAGGCUCAAGCGAUCCUCCCACCUCAGCCUCCUGAGUAGCUGGGACUACAGGCAUGCACCAUCACACUGGCUAAUGUUUUAAACAAUUUUUGUAGAGAUGGUGUCUUGCUAUUUUGCCCAAGCUGGUCUGGAACUCCUGGGCUCAAGCAAUCUGCCCACUUCAGCCUCCCAAGAUGAUGGGAGUACAGGCAUGAGCCACCGUGCCUGGCCUGAUAGAACUGUUAAUAAAUGGUAAUGCUGAUUCAAAUCAGUUGGUCUGACUUCAGAUACUCCUAAUUAUAAAAUACUUUUUACAACGCUAUUACUUGCUGAAGAGCUUUGGCAGAUAAUCGAUGAUUUGGUAAGCAGGUAUUUGGAUGUCCAGUGCACAUUUCUCAUGUCCAGAUGAGAAAUGAAUGCUCAGGGGAUUGCUUGAUACCUGGGAGUGAGAAAAUCCUUGUUCAAGUACUGGUUUUGACUUCACUUAAUCUUGGGCAAGUCAUCCAGUCUUCCUGGAUGUGCUGAGGUGGUUGCAUUAUUGCCUUUGUAAUUUUUUUUCUUCAUUUUUUUAUUAUACUUUAAGUUCUAGGGUACAUGUGCACAACGUGCAGGUUUGUUACAUAUGUAUAUAUGUGUCAUGUUGGUGUGCUGCACCCAUUAACUCAUCAUUUUCAUAAGGUAUAUCUCCUAAUGCUAUCCCUUCCCCCUCCCCCCACUCCAUGACAGGCCCCUCUGUGUGAUGUUCCCCAUCCUGUGUCUAAGUGUUCUCAUUGUGCAAUUCCCACCUAUGAGCGAGAGAGAACAUGCGGUGUUUGGUUUUCUGUCCUUGCGAUAGUUUGCUCAGAAUGAUGGUUUCCAGCUUCAUCCAUGUCCCUACAAAGGACAUGAACUCAUCCUUUUUUAUGGCUACGUAGUAUUCCAUGGUGUAUAUGUGCCAAAUUUUCUUAAUCCAGUCUAUCAUUGGUAGACAUUUGGAUUGGUUCCAAGUCUUUGCUAUUGUGAAUAGUGCCGCAAUAAACAUACAUGUGCAUAUGUCUUUAUAGCAGCAUGAUUUAUAAUCCUUUGGGUAUAUACCCAGUAAUGGGAUGGCUGGGUCAAAUGGUAUUUCUAGUUCUAGAUCCUUG